rnacentral:rRNA from 1 species
AUGAAGUCGGAAUUGCUAGUAAUCGCGGAUCAGCAUGCCGCGGUGAAUACGUUCCCGGGCCUUGUACACACCGCCCGUCACACCAUGGGAGUCGGUAACACCCGAAGCCGAUAGUCUAACGAAAGAGGACGUCGUCGAAGGUGGGAUUGAUGACUGGGGUGAAGUCGUAACAAGGUAGC